rnacentral:rRNA from 1 species
UACGUAGGGGGCUAGCGUUGUCCGGAAUCAUUGGGCGUAAAGAGCGUGUAGGCGGUCCGGUAAGUCCGCUGUGAAAGUCGGGGGCUCAACCCUCGAAUGCCGGUGGAUACUGUCGGGCUAGAGUACGGAAGAGGCGAGUGGAAUUCCUGGUGUAGCGGUGAAAUGCGCAGAUAUCAGGAGGAACACCUAUGCGAAGGCAGCUCGCUGGGACGUAACUGACGCUGAGACGCGAAAGCGUGGGGAGCAAACAGG